rnacentral:rRNA from 1 species
ACGAAGGGUGCAAGCGUUACUCGGAAUUACUGGGCGUAAAGCGUGCGUAGGUGGUUCGUUAAGUCUGCCGUGAAAGCCCCGGGCUCAACCUGGGAAUUGCGGUGGAUACUGGCGGACUAGAGUGCGGUAGAGGGUGGUGGAAUUCCCGGUGUAGCAGUGAAAUGCGUAGAGAUCGGGAGGAACAUCUGUGGCGAAGGCGGCCACCUGGACCAGCACUGACACUGAGGCACGAAAGCGUGGGGAGCAAACAGG